AAAUUUAUUACAUUAGUAGGUUAUAACUUCCAAAGACAAUUAUCUUUUUAAAUAAAACCAAGAAUGGUGGGAAGAGCCUAAUAUGGCCCCAUGACUCCUGGUCCUGUGUUCUGGGCAGUCACACCCUCUGUACUCUGCUUCUCUUGUGUACGGGGGCACUAGAUUUACAUCUAACCCAGCAGAAUGUGGCGAAGGUGAUGAGCUGUCACUUCCAUGAUUAUGUUGUGUUAUUAAGAUUCUAUCUUCCUAGCAGACUGGCCCGCAAGGCAAGGGACCGAUAGCAGCCUCCAGAAUGGCUUCCAGUUGACAGUUGGCAAGAAGUCAGGGCCCUUGGUCCUGCAGCCACAAGGAAAUAUAUUCUCUCAACAAACCGUCAGUGACCUCAGAAGCAGGUUCUUCUCCAGGUCUGAAAUCCCACAGCAGUUUCGCCACCAACCCAGCCAGUGUACUUCACACACCUGUACACACAGCACUCAACUGUGUAUCUGAAAGGAAACAGAAAUGGGAGAAGACGUAGUUCUGCCCUUAAGGACCAUACAAAGUAACUGGGCAGGAAGAUGCAGUUAUGUUUAAAACGUGUACCCUGUGAUGACACAGCACACAGAUUUGAAAAUCUUGGGCACAUAGACCUGAAGUCGCAAAACAGAAGAGCUUUAGAAGCCACAGGUUUUAAAGACCACGAAACAAGAGGGCUGCCAGAACAGAAAAUUGAUAAAAAGCAAUAAAAGCACAAAGAGAUACCUCAUCAACAAUUUCAAAUCUUCUGGAAAGUCAAGUAAAAUUGGAGUGGAGAGGUUUCUUUUCAACAAAGCCACGUGGUCUUUG